CAGCAGAAUGUUUUCUUUUGUAAUUUCAAGGGAUUGGACUCUAAAUCUGAUGUGUUUCCUCUGAUAAGAUGCUCACAACAGAGGCCCCCACCCUCCUUCUCUGAUACCAGCAGCUGGAGCACGGAGCAGGCUGAGGAAGGAAACUCAGCAUGAUCAAGUCCUCUCACAGAACAGUUUUAUCAACAAUUUCUAAGCUGCUCAGCUCUUCCCAAGCCCUGCAGAGACAGGUGUUCCCAGUUUACUGUAAACCGCCAGAGAAGUGUGAAACAGCUCUUACUGCACUGGCCCACAUGGAUAGGAAAUCUGCCUCCAGGACAAAUGUCUUUCAAUAAACCCGUACUCGAGACACACUCUAAGUUUAGCCUAUAAAGUAAACUCUGCAGCACUCAUUUUGGAGGGGAGAAGGGAACUGUUUUCCUUGGCAUUUCCCAUCUCUUUCUGCCUCAGCUGCAGACAGAAGGAAAGCAAAACACGCAUGUGGUCCCUAGGACGGGAGAGGAGAGGGAGAUUUUGCAGGGCUUGGCAUUAGGAUGCCGUGGUACCCUGGAGAGCCCCUCUAGUGCCACCCAGCAUGAAACCAGCAGCUCGCUGGGAUCAACCAGAAUGAGGAGCCCUGGAGCACCCUUACUGCAGUGAACAGAAAAGGAAAGCCUGGCUAAAAUGUGCAAACACAGCCUGUCAAUGCAAGGCAGAGGGCACGCAAACAAAUAAUGACAGCAGGUAAAAAAGUGAAUACAAAAUUUCCAUCCUAAAAAAAUUGUCUUCCUGUUGCUUUGGCCACUUAGAUUCCAUUACCUGGAUUUCACCAACCACCCCAAAAUCCACAGGGUGCUGGGUGCUUCAAAUUGGUCAUUCCUCUAGUUUAAAUACAGGAAAACUCCACAUGACCAGUCAUUACAGAGGAAGCAGGAACCUUGGCAGUGGAACCCAUUAUAGAGCAACCUGUCCUGAUAGCUGUGAGCAAACAGCAACAGGAAAAUACAUCAAAAUUUUCCAAAAGAGGGAGCUGACAAAGCCCUGCAGCCAGACUAUGUAUUCCAUCCUGCUUCUUCUGCAAGGCACCAGGUCAUCACCCCACUCAAGAGCAAACAGCAAAGCAAGCUCUGCCAGAUGA
rnacentral:lncRNA from 1 species